rnacentral:pre_miRNA from 2 species
UGCUUGCUCUGGUGGAUAUAUUGCACAUUACUAAGUUGCAUGUUGUCACGGCCUCAGUGCAAUUUAGUGUGUGCGAUAUUUUCACAUGAGUGCAU